UUCAAUCUCUCUCUCUCUCUCUCUCUCUCUCUCCUGUCAACGUAGACGCGUUUGCCACCACCGCUCGUUCUGCCGGCGCACGAUCACCACCGAUUUAUAAAUGUGACCAAUGGUUCUGAGGCCUUUUGUUCUGGUGAGAUCGAAGCGACUAGUUUCUCCCUUAAUUCCCUGUAAUUUGUUCACCGGUAACGAUUUCCAAGGUGUGGAGAAGGAGGCAGAGGAGCUGAUUAAGAGGCCGUUUGUUCCUGCAAGAUCGAAGCGUUGGUCAGAUGACGAUUUCUUCUUACGACUACAGCGGUGGCGUCUCCGACGAAGGCUCCUAAUCUUAAUUAGAAGAUGAGCUUUUCAUCACCUGGAGCUCUACAAGAUUUAGAUUUUCGAAGUUAUGGAGCAAUUGCUACACCCGAGCCAACGGUGUUGAAAUUUGAAAAUGGAGAGACUGUGAUUGCUAAUGAUGAGAUAGCAAAGAUUCAGUGAUUGCUAAUGAUGAGAUAGCAAAGAUCCGGCAUAAAUUUGAUGCCGCAAAGCAGAGUUUCCUUAAGAUUCCACAGGCACUCAAAGAAAUGCCUAAGAUAAAUCUGAAAGAAUUCUCUCCUUUGCAUUUGCAGUGGUAGAUUCUAAAAAUUAUGUGAAUUUGAGUAGUGACGCCUCCAUUGACAAGAGAUCAUUCGGCCAACUAAGAAAUGUUGAAAUGAAGUCUGGUCCUGAAGGUGGCAAAAUAAUGUCCAUGGUUACUGUAAUGUGGUAGAGCUUGACAACAAGAAACAUCAACGGAGGCCAUCUGAAAAAUGACAGUAGCAUUACAACAUUGACAGUGGCUUUAUACAACUAUGUAGCUUCUGUGACCUUGUCGGAUGUUGCCGGAAAUCUCACCAGAGUAGCUUUUGUUGCUAGUGACAGUAGCUUUUCUGAUCUUGCCGGAAGUUGCCGAAAAUCUCACCAAAAUACCUUUUGUUGCUUGUGAUAGUAGCUUUUGUGACCUCGCCGGAGGUUGCCGGAGUUUUACUCGAUUGCCCUGAUUCCGUCGUGCCAUCUGCUCAGUUCUUUGGUUGCCACCGCAUCCAUUUUGGUAGUUGAGAGAGAGAGAGAGAGAGAGAGGAGAGCGUACAGUUCCGUUCUGUUCUGAUGAUCAAAAGUAACUGUUUAAAAAUCGAUGGUCAGAGAUAAAAGCAGCCAAGAGACUUGAUUUUGGGGUUUAUCCAUCCUCUUCAGCUCUAAAGGAUUUUGGUCAAGUAGCGAGGAGACUUGAACUCCAAUUCAGCUUCGGGUGAGUUUUUUGUGGUACACCAGCUGACAGCAUUGUAACUACUGGGUUUUCAAAAGCACUAGAGUUGAAUGAGAUUUUUCAUUGGGUUGGGGUAAUCACUCAGAGGAUCAUAUUAUUGCGAACUAGACUGAGUUGAGAUCAGGUGGUUUGUAAGAGCUAUUGAAAUUUGAGAAAAUAAGAGUGUGGGAAAUGUGAUGCUGAUUGUGGUUGGAGAUAUUUGAGAUUUUGUGGAGGGUUGUUGAAGAGGUAUGGAUCUUGCCUUAGUUUUCGGCAGCCAAAUGUGUUGUGUGGGAGUGAAGGGGAAAGUUCUGAAAAGUUGAAAGUGUUGAUUCGCAUAUUUUUUUUGGGAGUAGAGAUGGUGGGUGUAGCUUUCAGGGUAAUUCAACAGUUGCUGUGAAAGCAUGUUUGGGGAAGAAUGUGAAGAGGCAUGUGUGUUUUAAUGAUUGUUGGGUUUCGCGUUUGGCCUAUAGAGAAAAUGCUGAUGAUUGUUGCUGGAGUUCGAAUAUCAAAAUGCCUUCGUUUCGUAGCUGUUGUAAUGUUUUUAAGGGUCAAGAGUGGUUUGGUGGUCCCGGUGUCAGAGUAAUGACUCAUUAGCCGUCAAUGGGAAUGGUCAGAAUAUAGAAUAUGUAGAAGGUCAUGAUGAGAUCUCGAGUAGGGCCUAUCCAUGAUGAUGAAUUAAGUGGUUCCAGAUAAGAGGAGGGAUCUAGAGACAAAAUAGAGGAAUCAGAGGCCCCUACUGUGGAUGAAUUGAGGGAGUUGUUGCAGAAUGCCAUGAAAGAAUUGGAAGUUGCAUGUUGUAAUAGUACCAUGUUUGAAGAAAAGGCUCAGAAAAUAUCAGAAGCUGCUAUUUCCCUGCAGGAUGAAGCAGUAACUGAUGAUGAAUGAAAGUAAUGGUGAAGUAGUCAGAGAUAAGGUGGUAGUAGUGAUAAAGUAUACGUAUGUCAAAUUGAAAUUGAACUUGAUGAAGAAGAGUAUUUUGAAUUAACAAAGAAUAUACUGAGGCCAAGAACUUGGUUAGUUCGUAUCGGGAGGAAGCUGUCAAGGAAGUGGCUGAGAAGAUAGAGAGGAACUUGAUUCUUCUUGGUGCUAUUGCAGUUGAAGACAAACUUCAAAAUGGGGGACUCGGAACAUGCAAAGCUCAAAGCUGGGGUGGAGGUUUUACAGAGAUAUUGAGAUUAUAAAGAAUGAGAUCUUGAAGCCAAUUACAUAGAUCCAGAAUGCUAAAAACAACAGCUGAAAAUUGAUGGAUCUGCUGUUGAGUUGUCUCCUUGGAGAAGGGCAUUAUGCGCUCCUUAGACGAGCAGAGCUAAAAACAUUGGCGGAUCUGCAUGCGAAUGAGGCAGGGAAAGGUGGAGAGUUGCCACAUCAUGUAACUACGACUAUUGGUGGUGCUUUGGAUUUGACGCAGAAAACUGCUGAAGAUGUUUCGAAUCCAAUGUCAGAAAAUUUUACCCUUGACAUAAACUCCAAACUUCACAUGAAUACACUGGGUCCAAUAAUGAGCAGAGGUCACAGUCGUAUACCAAUAUAUUCAGGAAAUCUAAAUAAUAUGAUUGGCCUCAUUUUGGCAAAAAAUUUGAUCUUCUGUCACCCAGAAGAGGAAACCCCAGUUAAGUACAUGACAAUCAGAAGAAUUCCAAGUGCGUGAUCUGCUCACUGAAGGACUUACGGUGGAGGUGAUACUUUAUCGUGGUUCCAUUCAGCGUUUCAGAAGAAGGAUAAGGCGUUGCAGGAGCAAAAUAAUUUUCUGACAAAAAAAGGUUAGCUACUUGAGCCAUGUGUAUGCAUCUAUGAAGUAUAGGUGAAGGAGAAGGAGAAAACAGUAGCCAGCAGUGCCCCACGGGCACAGGCACAAUGGGAGUAGCUGUAGAGGCACAGCUUGGACUCCUCCUCUAGUAGGACCCUUCUACCUUAGGCAUUGCACUCCUUGAAUUUCGGGUAUGUGCUACUACGUUUGGUUUUGCCUGGAUCAGUUUUUUUGUCCAGUAUAUAGUUGUGAACAUCCAUUUUUUAUCUUUUAAUACAGUUUAUGAUAAUUUUAUCUGAUUCACAGUUGGACACUGAUCUAAUUCAGUUACAUCUUAAAGGUCAACUUAAAGCGGGUAAGUUUAAGCUUGCUGGUUUGUGCUGGUUUUGGGUGAAAUAGAAUAAAAGUCUUGCUUCUCUUUCUCUAAUUAUUAAUCAUGAUGAACUUGGUAGCUUCAAAUUUUUUGUUUUUUUGUUGUUUUUUUUGUCUGCUUUGCUAAGGUAGAAGGCUGUCGUUUUUGUCAAUGCUUUUGUUAGUUCUUUCACUACAGAUUUGUUUUAUUGCUUUAUGAAAUCAAAGAAUUGAAAGUGGUUCUGUACCGGGAUUAUUAUGACACUGGGGAUGAUGUGAAGGGGAUGCAUGGCACAACGUUGAUAGGCCGUUUCCGUGAUGCUCGGGAAGAAUGGUCAACCGCUUUGAUAUGAGUGAUGGGGUUUCUAGAAACAAGCUACUCACGAAUAAACCCCACCUUGAUGGUAAUUUCUUUGGUAAUUCAGUAAUAAUUUAGAUACAUUAUAUGUCAAAAGUUUAGGAGAACAAACUGAGUUGUUCUCUAACUUGAAGCUUAUUGUUUGUUUGAUCUGAUUCUAAGGCAGUUGCAAUUUCGUAGGAAUUGGAGACGAAAACCCAUUUUCAAAAGAUGAAAGAAAUGCAUAAAAUGAAAUUAACUUAAAACACUAUAUUGUUAAUCUUUACAUCAUUCCAUGUCUGCUUGCUCGAAUCAAGGGGUGUAAAUUGAACUUCUAUAAGGCCAGUCUACAUCUUUGGACCAUUGAACUACAAUCCUAUUGAAGAGUGGUUCUUCCACUGGUUGAAAGCUGCCUGCCCAAUUCCAGUUCCAUACUCGGGAAUACAAUUAACACAACUCAGUAAUGUUGAGGAUUUAGCUACUGCAUUUACCCUUCAGCCAAAAACAAAAGACUGGGUUCAGCUAAGCAGAAGUUCUCCUGAUUCAGAUAAGGACGUCAACUCUAUUGAAAUCAGACAUGCUGGGUCUCCGCAGAUAAGUUCCUGUAACUCGGAGACCAAAGAAUCUAAUGACGGACUUGAUGUUGAUGACAUUGAUGUUAUAUGAUGACUACAUAAGAACCCUGUUGUGAAAGAUCAAUGUGGCCUAUUCGUUUCAUUCAUCCCUUAUUGUGAAUAGAUUGUGAAAGGUUUUUAGUCCGAAUUAUUAUUAUUAUUAUUAUUUUUUUUGAAAAUGAGGCUGGGGCGGCUGCCCUCAAGCCUUGAUUAAUUUAGGGGGACUAUGAUUGUACAUGUGGUUUAAUACUGGAUUAUUAAAUACUGGCUUAUUGUUUCUUAUGCAAGGAGA